rnacentral:rRNA from 1 species
UACGUAGGGUGCGAGCGUUGUCCGGAAUUACUGGGCGUAAAGAGCUCGUAGGUGGUUUGUCGCGUUGUCCGUGAAAACUCACAACUCAAUUGUGGGCGUGCGGGCGAUACGGGCGGACUGGAGUACUGCAGGGGAGACUGGAAUUCCUGGUGUAGCGGUGGAAUGCGCAGAUAUCAGGAGGAACACCGGUGGCGAAGGCGGGUCUCUGGGCAGUAACUGACGCUGAGGAGCGAAAGCGUGGGGAGCGAACAGG